GACGAACGCUGGCGGCGUGCCUAAUACAUGCAAGUCGAACGCACAGUUUAUACCGUGGCUUGCUACACCAUAGACUGUGAGUUGCGAACGGGUGAGUAACGCGUAGGUAACCUGCCUGGUAGCGGGGGAUAACUAUUGGAAACGAUAGCUAAUACCGCAUAAUAUUGAUUAUUGCAUGAUAAUUGAUUGAAAGAUGCUAUUGCAUCACUACCAGAUGGACCUGCGUUGUAUUAGCUAGUAGGUGAGGUAACGGCUCACCUAGGCGACGAUACAUAGCCGACCUGAGAGGGUGAUCGGCCACACUGGGACUGAGACACGGCCCAGACUCCUACGGGAGGCAGCAGUAGGGAAUCUUCGGCAAUGGACGAAAGUCUGACCGAGCAACGCCGCGUGAGUGAAGAAGGUUUUCGGAUCGUAAAGCUCUGUUGUAAGAGAAGAACGGGUGUGAGAGUGGAAAGUUCACACUGUGACGGUAUCUUACCAGAAAGGGACGGCUAACUACGUG
rnacentral:rRNA from 1 species